AAUACAUGCAAGUCGAGCGAACAGACGAGGAGCUUGCUCCUCUGACGUUAGCGGCGGACGGGUGAGUAACACGUGGAUAACCUACCUAUAAGACUGGGAUAACCUCGGGAAACCGGAGCUAAUACCGGAUAAUAUAUUGAACCGCAUGGUUCAAUAGUGAAAGACGGUUUUGCUGUCACUUAUAGAUGGAUCCGCGCCGCAUUAGCUAGUUGGUAAGGUAACGGCUUACCAAGGCAACGAUGCGUAGCCGACCUGAGAGGGUGAUCGGCCACACUGGAACUGAGACACGGUCCAGACUCUUACGGGAGGCAGCAGUAGGGAAUCUUCCGCAAUGGGCGAAAGCCUGACGGAGCAACGCCGCGUGAGUGAUGAAGGUCUUCGGAUCGUAAAACUCUGUUAUUAGGGAAGAACAAAUGUGUAAGUAACUAUGCACGUCUUGACGGUACCUAAUCAGAAAGCCACGGCUAACUACGUGCCAGCAGCCGCGGUAAUACGUAGGUGGCAAGCGUUAUCCGGAAUUAUUGGGCGUAAAGCGCGCGUAGGCGGUUUUUUAAGUCUGAUGUGAAAGCCCACGGCUCAACCGUGGAGGGUCAUUGGAAACUGGAAAACUUGAGUGCAGAAGAGGAAAGUGGAAUUCCAUGUGUAGCGGUGAAAUGCGCAGAGAUAUGGAGGAACACCAGUGGCGAAGGCGACUUUCUGGUCUGUAACUGACGCUGAUGUGCGAAAGCGUGGGGAUCAAACAGGAUU
rnacentral:rRNA from 1 species